rnacentral:rRNA from 1 species
CUUGACUGUAUCCUGGAAUGGGUUCGGGCUUUUCUUGCGCAGUCUAGGUGGGAGGCUUUGAAGGUUUCUUCCGGGGAAAUUUGGAGCCAUCAGUGAGAGACCACUCUGGAAAGGCUAGAAUCCUAAUGGUGAUACCUUGAAUCAGGAACUUGACAGUUUCAGGUGGCAGUUUGUUUUGGGGCGAACGCUUAUAAAGCGUAACUAGGUGGCAAAGGUUCCCUCAAUCUGGACGGAGAAUCAGAUGUUGAGUGUAAAGGCAAAGGGAGCUUGACUGCAAGACCUACAAGUCGAGCAAGGGGCGAAAGCCGGCCUUAGUGAUCCGACGGUGCCGUGUGGAAGGCCGUCGCUCAACGGAUAAAAGUUUA